rnacentral:rRNA from 1 species
GAUGAACGCUGGCGGCGUGCCUAAUACAUGCAAGUCGAGCGAACAGACGAGGUGCUUGCUCCUCUGACGUUAGCGCCGGACGGGUGAGUAACACGUGGAUAACCUACCUAUAAGACUGGGGUAACUUCGGGAAACCGGAGCUAAUACCGGAUAAUAUAUUGAACCGCAUGGUUCAAUAGUGAAAGACGGUUUUGCUGUCACUUAUAGAUGGAUCCGCGCCGCAUUAGCUAGUUGGUAAGGUAACGGCUUACCAACGCGACGAUGCGUAGCCGACCUGAGAGGGUGAUCGGCCACACUGGAACUGAGACACGGUCCAGACUCCUACGGGAGGCAGCAGUAGGGAAUCUUCCGCAAUGGGCGAAAGCCUGACGGAGCAACGCCGCGUGAGUGAUGAAGGUCUUCGGAUCGUAAAACUCUGUUAUUAGGGAAGAACAAAUGUGUAAGUAACUAUGCAGGUCUUGACGGUACCUAAUCAGAAAGCCACGGCUAACUACGUG